CAACCCUCAAGCUUAGCUUGGUGUUGGGGAUCGGCAAGGCGUCCUCCGGGUCGCGCCGUCCCCCAAAUUUAGUGGCGGUCUCGCUGUAGCUUCCUCUGCGUAGUAAUACACCUCGCUCUGGAGUCUCGGUGCGGCCACGCCGUAAAACCCCCAACUUUUUCU
rnacentral:misc_RNA from 1 species